UCACUAAACUAGCCAGGAUUGCUCAGACAGCCAAGAGAAGAGGCAUCACUGAUAGUCAGCAACAAGCGAAACCCAAUGGAAAUCAUCACAGCAAAGGAGGUUCCUCAAAAA